rnacentral:tRNA from 1 species
CCCUGGUUAGCUCAGUUGGUAGAGCGUCCCCCUGUAAUGGAGAGGUCCCGGGUUCGAUACCCGGACCAGGCG